CCUCCCGUGGGUCACUUCUCUGUUAUCAAUCUCCGCUCCUCUAUCUCUCUCUCCACCUGGAUCAGUUUUCUAUUGAUUGACUUCGGCUCCCUGGAGGAUGUCAGGGGAGAUUUCACUUAGGCCAGAACGAGACAUCAUUUAGUCUCUGUAGGGGAAAUUAGCGCGCCAGAAAGACUCUUGAGUGGCCUCCUGGGAACUGUAGUUUUCGGCUGCGCUGGGGCGUCUGGUAGUUGUGGUUUCCCCGGAAAAUCUUGGUCGGGAGAGUAGCUGAAACCUGGAUGGAGCAUGCUGGGUCUGGAGUCCCAAGACCCAUGUAAGAUGACCUAUUAUUGAGAGACAGUGCGGUAAAGUAGAUAAAGUGUUGUGCUUGGAGUUGGGAAAGCCCGCGGCUAGCAUUCUGCCUUCUGCACUCACUCUCUGUGUGACCACAGGAACUGCUAGACUAUGAAGAUAGGAGGGUCUGCUUAUCUGCAAAGGACCUCAGCUGCACAAGCAUAUUAUCCCAGCCUGGGACGGACUGGCUGGCUGCUGUCUUGCCUCCAAGGACACAUAGAGAAUCCAGCUUUGGGGUGCAACAACAAAUUAUGUCAACUCAGGAGGAGCGUCUUCCUUGACGCAUUCAAGGCCUUCUGCAUGCUCUGGGUCCAAAUAUGGCAACUUAAAAGACAAGUUCAGGCGACCUUUUAACAACUCUUAACAUAUCUCACACUUCCACUGGCCUGCACCGUACUGUAUAACCUCUUUCACUCUCCUAGGCUGCUAACACAGGGUCUUUAUUUCCAUGGCCUCACUGUCAACUCACUAGUUGGAGAGGAAAGAUGGACAAGUUGCUCUCCCACUCUCUGGGGAAUAGAGUAGGCCGUACUUUUUCCUCUGUGACCAUCAUCUUCAGACUGUCCUCUGAGCUCUAUCCACAGGCCCCUUUCCUCCACUAUGAAAGAAUUCCUGAUUUGUGUAAGCAAAUGAAGAUAGAGACAGUGAGAUAAUGGAUGGGGGAAGUUACUUUGAAAACUAUAAAACACUAUAAAUGUAAGAUGAUAUCCUAUUAUAAAAUGAUAUAACUCAGAUUUGGAUACGCUGUCUGAGUAACCUCACUACAACACUCUAAAUCCUCGGUUUUAGCCAGUAUGAGAGGCUCUAUUCCAUUAAAAUAAUUAUCUUCACAGAAAGUACAUUGAAUAUAGAAAUAUGAAAACCUAACAGCUGCAUGUUUCAACAGCAUUUGCAGACAUACAAAAGUGUUGUUGUCCAUCAUUCUACAAGAAGACCAAAAUGACGUCAUUAUGCUAGAUCCAAAUUACAGUGUGUCU